GGCUCUGUGGUGGAUGGUCCACAUUUGCAUUCCAUUGUAAACCCUCGUGGACGUUACUGCAGAAAGAGCCCGUUCGAUUCGGGUCUGAGCCA